CGAGUCAGCCGAGAUAAUCGCUGCCUGCAACGAAAAUGCGCAGGGGGAGGAAAGUCCGGGCUCCACAGGGCAGGGUGCCAGCUAACGGCUGGGGGGCGCGAGCCUACGACAAGUGCAGCAGAGAGGAGACCGCCAACUUCGGUUGGUAAGGGUGAAAGGGUGCGGUAAGAGCGCACCGGGCCACUGGUAACAGUUGGUUGCAAGGUAAACUCCACCCGGAGCAAGACCAAAUAGGGUUCCUUAUGGCGUGGCCCACGUUGGAACCGGGUAGGUUGCUUGAGCCAUAGAGCAAUUUAUGGCCUAGACGAAUGAUUAUCCACGACAGAACCCGGCUUACUGGCUGACUCACCAA
rnacentral:RNase_P_RNA from 2 species